rnacentral:misc_RNA from 1 species
CAGGAAUGCUGUUAACUCUGCAAUUACAUGCGCCAAAACGCAAGAUAGAUCAAUCCGAAGAGGAGAAGCAGCGAUGACAGCAAAAGCCUUUACCGCUGUAAGGCGUGUUAUUUCAUUCCCCAUCCGAUCAACAAGUACAGGAAGGCAUGCAGGUAACUCUGCUCUGAGGUUGUCACCAAAUGUUGAAAUGACGAGCCCCAUGCAAGAAAUAGCACAUUCCUUAACUUCCUGGUCUUGGUCUUGGUUUGUCA